CAGUCGCCACGGGAAUACGUAGGUGGCAAGCGUUGUCCGGAUUUACUGGGCGUAAAGCGAACGCAGGCGGACUGUUAAGUAGGAAGUGAAAGGUCGGAGCUCAACUCCAACAUUGCUUCCUAUACUGGCAGUCUUGAGUAGCGGAGAGGAAGGGGGAACGACACGUGUAGCGGUGAAAUGCGUUGAUAUGUGUCGGAACACCCAUGGCGAAAGCACCCUUCUGGACGCAAACUGACGUUCAGGUUCGAAAGCCAAGGUAGCGAACAGGAUUAGAUACCCCCGUAGUCCCUGUCUCUUAUAC
rnacentral:rRNA from 1 species